GAUGAAGAACGCAGCGAAAUGCGAUAAGUAGUGUGAAUUGCAGAAUUCAGUGAAUCAUCGAAUCUUUGAACGCACAUUGCGCCCCUUGGUAUUCCAUGGGGCAUGCCUGUUCGAGCGUCAUUUGUACCUUCAAGCUCUGCUUGGUGUUGGGUGUUUGUCUCGCCUCUGCGUGUAGACUCGCCUCAAAACAAUUGGCAGCCGGUGUAUUGAUUUCGGAGCGCAGUACAUCUCGCGCUUUGCACUCAUAACGACGACGUCCAAAAGUACAUUUUUACACUCUUGACCUCGGAUCAGGUAGGGAUACCCGCUGAACUUAAGCAUAUCAAUAAGCGGAGGA
rnacentral:misc_RNA from 1 species